rnacentral:lncRNA from 9 species
UAGGUCUCAGCACCCCCUGGGGUCUUGGGCGGGUAGCAGGGCCCUUGGAGACUCAAGAGGCUCCUCCCCAGGACAGCCCGACUCAGAAAGACCGUCUGGGAUCUUUUCCCAAGUCGGCCAGGCUUGUUGCAGCUUUUCUGGGCUGCAGGGGUCCUGCCUGGAGCUGGCAGUCCUAUGCAGCUGGUCCACUAGGUCUUAGCACCCCCUAGGGUCUUGGGCGUGUAGCAAGGCCCUUGGAGACUCAAGAGGCUCCUCCCCGGGGGAGCCCGUCUCAGAAAAACCGUCAGAGAAUUAGGUCGAUCUAUUCACGGCCUGGCUAGGCUUGUUCUAGCUUUUCUGGGCUGCAGGCCUUUUUUAGGGGGCUGGUGGUGUUUGGUGCUGCUCUGUGGAAGUGUAGCCCCUCCAAAGGGCAAGCAGGCCUGUGCAGGGAGAGCCCCUGCGGUGGUAGGCUUCAGGCAAUUGUUGAGGCCAGCCCUCCUGGAUGGCAGGCAGCCCCAGGUUCGGCGAGAGCGUAGGGGGUGGUGGGGGUGGGGGGAGGGAAUGCACUGGGAAGCACAGCUUUCUGCUAGCUAGCGGGCCUGUAAGCUUGUUGUGGCGUGGGGGGUAUUCUAUGGGGACCCACCCCUUCUUCUCUCCCCUCCCCAGCACUGGCGCAGACCAGGCUCUUCUCCCAGGUUCCCUCUGAGGCGGCUUUCCACUUCCCCGCCCCUAGAGUAUUGCUCCCUUCCUCUGCGACAGCUUUGUUUUCUAGUCUCCCAGGCAGUCUCUGCCCCGUCAAAUGGUUUAGAGACCUCCCAAGCAGUUUCCGCUCUUCCCCGCCCCCCUAGCCCGGGGACUAAUCUCUGGAGCCGAGGUCUCGGUGCCCAGCCCCCCCCCAGGCGUCCCCCGGCCCUUUCUUGGGGACUAACCUUCGGAGGCGAGGUCUCGGUGCCCAGCCCCAACCCAGGCGUCCCCGGCCCCCUCUCGGGGACCAACCUUCAGAGCUGAGGUCUCGGUGCCCAGCCCCCACCCAGGCGUCCCCCGGCCCUUUCCCGGGGACUAACCUCUGGAGCCGAGGAUUCGGUGCCCAGCCCCCACCCAGGCGUCUCAAUUUUUGGUGACUGUGCCCGUAGUUCAGAUGGUCCGUUGGGUUCUUGAUCGUUUUUCCGUACUCCAACUUACUGCUACACUCUUCUCUGCAUCUGGAGAUUCCUCCGGUUCGUUUGAUCUUUCGCCCGGUAGGUGACUUUCCAGGGUGCGGGAUCCCUUUCCCCUCCGCAGUUCCCUUUCGGGAGCGCCCGUCCCGCUCGGAUUCACCUUCUCUCACUCUCCUCUUUUCUCCCGUUCUGCCCAAUAAUGUCACGAAUUUCUUGCCGUUAUUGGAGAUUAGGUUCCUCUGCCAGCGAUUGGUUGUUGUUCUGUGCGAGUCAUUUCUUCUGUAGAUGUGCUUUUUUUGUUGUGUUUGUGGGAGAGGGCGAGCGUGUCCCCCUACUCCUCCGCCAUCUUGUCCUCUCU